rnacentral:sRNA from 1 species
UGCACUACUUCUAAGCCAUUCGAGGAUU